rnacentral:rRNA from 1 species
AUUGAACGCUGGCGGCAUGCUUUACACAUGCAAGUCGAACGGUAACAGGGUGCUUGCACCGCUGACGAGUGGCGAACGGGUGAGUAAUGCGUCGGAACGUGCCGAGUAGUGGGGGAUAACGCAGCGAAAGUUGUGCUAAUACCGCAUACGUACUGAGGUAGAAAGUGGGGGACCUUCGGGCCUCACGCUAUUCGAGCGGCCGACGUCUGAUUAGCUAGUAGGUGAGGUAAAGGCUCACCUAGGCGACGAUCAGUAGCGGGUCUGAGAGGAUGAUCCGCCACACUGGGACUGAGACACGGCCCAGACUCCUACGGGAGGCAGCAGUGGGGAAUUUUGGACAAUGGGCGAAAGCCUGAUCCAGCCAUGCCGCGUGUCUGAAGAAGGCCUUCGGGUUGUAAAGGACUCUUGUCAGGGAGGAAAUCCCUAGCGUUAAUACCGCUGGGGGAUGACAGUACCUGAAGAAUAAGCACCGGCUAACUACGUGCCAGCCGCCGCGGUAAUAC